ACCAUCCAUAACAGCUCAUAUUUUCAGGAUAACAGAAUCACAGGUAAUUUGAUUCCUGCAAAGCUUGUAUCAUUAAUGAAGCUGCAGAACCUUCUGCGUCUUUUAUUCUUGUUUUUUCAUCUCCCAUCAUGUAGAGCACACCAUCUACAGUUGCAAUCUGAACUGAGCAUAUAAAUUUCUUCUCAUGUGCAGGGCCCAUUUCUUUCUCAAUGCUGCAUGUUAAAGCAAAGAAAAGAACAUUAUAAGUAUUCAAAAUAGCAUAAUUUCUGAGAGUUUGUUUAUAAGACCCGAGUAUUAUAAGAAUAAGAAAAGCUUAUCCUCAUCGUGUAUCUUGCUGAGAACUCAACAUGAUUCCUUAACUCUGUUUGCUGCCCAAAUUAUUUUAGAGCUUUUUUUUUUCAUAUAGGCCACCUUUCUUAAAGCCUUGACCUAUGUUAGUCCACCACCCCAUUGCGGCUACACUCAAAACAUCAGUUCUCAUCCUAUUCCAAUUUACCUCUCCCAGCAUUUCACUCCCUAUGAACCUAUUAAAGCAUAUUAGAAGGUAAUUGAAAAUUAAGUAGGGAUUGCUUAGGGAGGAAAGAAGAGACUAAAGUUGGAACUUGGAAUCAACAGUAAAACUAAUGGGUUUCUCAUGAAGCAUACAAAGCAAAAUCAAAUCAACUUCACCAUUGGAUCACAGCAAUAUGUUAGAUAAUAUGCAAGGUAAGAAAUAGUAGAUGGGAAUAUAUAUAACAAAGUAUAGAAUGAGACUUUAAACUCACAAAACUCCAAUAAACCAGUACCUUCACAUUAAAUAUCUUCUCCAUGAAAUUAUGAGAGUUCAUAAAAGCAUUUUGAAUAGAAAAUAAUCAAAUCUCAAAAGAUAUAAUAGAGCGUUAACACAUGAAGCAAACGUAGUGCAGACAUCUAAGUUAUGAAUAUUUAAGUAUGUUAUAAGUUUAAAUGCAUAC
rnacentral:misc_RNA from 1 species